UAAAGCAUCCGUAGCCGGCUGUGUAAGUUUUCGGUUAAAUCUGUGCGCUUAACGUACAGGCUGCCGGAAAUACUGUACAGCUAGGAAGUGGGAGAGGUAGACGGUACUCGGUAGGAAGGGGUAAAAUCCUUUGAUCUAUUGAUGACCACCUGUGGCGAAGGCGGUCUACCAGAACACGUUCGACGGUGAGGGAUGAAAGCUGGGGGAGCAAACCGGAUUAGAUACCCGGGUAGUCCCAGCUGUAAACUAUGCAAACUCAGUGAUGCAUUGGCUUGUGGCCAAUGCAGUGCUGCAGGGAAGCCGUUAAGUUUGCCGCCUGGGAAGUACGUACGCAAGUAUGAAACUUAAAGGAAUUGGCGGGGGAGCACCACAAGGGGUGAAGCCUGCGGUUCAAUUGGGGUCAACGCCAGAAAUCUUACCCGGAGAGACAGCAGAAUGAAGGUCAAGCUGAAGACUUUACCAGACAAGCUGAGAGGUGGUGCAUGGCCGUCGCCAGCUCGUGCCGUGAGAUGUCCUGUUAAGUCAGGUAACGAGCGAGAUCCCUGCCUCUAGUUGCCACCAUUACUCUCAGGAGUAGUGGGGCGAAUUAGCGGGACCGCCGCAGUUAAUGUGGAGGAAGGAAGGGGCCACGGCAGGUCAGUAUGCCCCGAAACUCUGGGGCCACACGCGGGCUGCAAUGGUAAUGACAAUGGGUUCCGAAUCCGAAAGGAGGAGGUAAUCCUCAAACAUUACCACAGUUAUGACUGAGGGCUGCAACUCGCCCUCACGAAUAUGGAAUCCCUAGUAACUGCGUGUCAUUAUCGCGCGGUGAAUACGUCCCUGCUCCUUGCACACACCGCCCGUCGUUUCAUUGAAGUGUGCCUUUAGCGAGGUGACGUCUGAUUGGCGUUAUCGAACUUGAGGUACGUGACAAGGGAAAAGUCGUAACAAGGGUAAC
rnacentral:rRNA from 1 species